AUGGAGAGGCAGCGGGUGGUGGUGGUGGUGGAGGACGCCCCGGCGUCCCGCGCGGCGCUGCAGUGGGCGGUGCGCAACUUCAUCCGGGCCGGCGACUCCAUCGCGCUGCUGCACGUGUGCGCGCCGGCCCGCUCCAAGCGCCGCCGCCGGCGCCUCCGGCUGCGCGGGUUCCAGCUCGCGCUCGCCUUCCGGGACCUCUGCGACGGCGUCGCGGAGGCCAUGGUGGAGAUCGUGGUGCGGGAGGGGGAGCUCGCGGCGACGGUGGCCGCGGCGGUCGGCCAGCUCCGGGCCUCCACGCUCGUCGUCGGCCUCCACGACAAGAGCUUCCUCUACGGGUCGCCGAGCCCGUACGAGGGAGUGAGCGGGCUGGGGUGCCGGGUGCUCGCCGUCCGGCAGCACGCGACGGCGCGGCACGGGGCCGUGGAGGCGGAGCUCACCCAGGUGGAGACCAUACGGCUGCACGUGCCGCCGCCCAAGAUCCCGUUCCCGAUCUUCGCGCUGCCGCUGGGCGUCAUCUGGAGGCGAUCAUCGUCGUCGAAGAAGAGGAAGUGA
rnacentral:rRNA from 1 species